CCCAAGCCUGGGUGUCUGGGAAAUGAGAAUGUGUCUCCUUCUCUUCUCUGUCUGUGGAGCAGACGGAAGGUCCUUUCAGCCUGUGCUGGUUGAGAAUAGUGCAGUUGUCUCAGAG